GUUUGAGUAAAGUUCCAUCACUCACGAUAAGAAGACUCCUGACCAGUCUAAAGAAGUAAUAGAAGUAGUCCAUGUGCAGAGAUGCUGUUCAUCGGGCUUUAGGAGCAGUCCCCAGGACAGCUUAACCAUAAAUGUGUGCCUGGAGACGACAGAGGAGGAGGAAGAAAAGGGUGGAGAAGAUUAUCCAGAACUUCGCAAUUUUGGAUCGGGUACAAAACAGGCUGCUAUUGCAUGGGAGAGAAUUGCUUCACUGUUUUCCACUUCAUAUCAACAAAUCCUUAUGUGUAUUUGUAAUUUCAUCAUUUUUUGAGUUUGCUUAGCUUUUGCCUUGGGUUCCCUUGACCGAUGCUAACUUUUAAUAUUAGGCUUUUUAAAAAGCCUACAUGAAAAUGUACUUAAAACAGAGGAGAAAAAAAGCAUAUACAUACCUAUAUCUCUGAAUCCAUAUUAAGAUCUCUUAACAAAUCCAGAUUUCAACACUUACUUAAAAUGUGAUCAAACAAAAUAUACCUGAUAAUGCAAAAUAGAGAAGACAUUAUGUGGCUAUCUUGCUGUCAGUCAAAAGUUAGUAAACUUAGGUUUAAAUCCAGGAAGAAAGAUACAGUACAGGAAUGGGCAGUCGUGUUCUGAUAAAUCAGCUUUCUAAAUAAAUAAAUAAAUUUA